rnacentral:rRNA from 1 species
CGUGAGAUGUUGGGUUAAGUCCCGCAACGAGCGCAACCCUUAUUGUCAGUUGCCAUCAUUAAGUUGGGCACUUUGGCGAGACUGCCGGUGACAAACCGGAGGAAGGUGGGGAUGACGUCAAAUCAUCAUGCCCCUUAUGACCUGGGCUACACACGUGCUACAAUGGACGGUACAACGAGUCGCUAACUCGCGAGGGCAAGCUAAUCUCUUAAAGCCGUUCUCAGUUCGGAUUCAGGCUGCAACUCGCCUGCAUGAAGUCG